UACGUAGGGGGCUAGCGUUGUCCGGAUUUAUUGGGCGUAAAGAGCUCGUAGGUGGUUCGGUAAGUCGGAUGUGAAAUCUCCAGGCUCAACCUGGAGGGGUCAUUCGAUACUGCCGUGACUAGAGUUCGGUAGAGGAGUGUGGAAUUCCUGGUGGAGCGGUGAAAUGCGCAGAGAUCAGGAGGAACACCCGUAGCGAAGGCGGCACUCUGGGGCCCAUACUGACACUGAG
rnacentral:rRNA from 1 species